AAUGGAAAUUAUGAAGUAGAAGUAUAUUAAAUGUUAUUAAAUAUAUUAGUGAAUGGUUUUUAGAGAUUGUAUCUGCAUUAGAAUAUCUGAUCAUAAUGCUGUAUAAAAACAUAGUGCCAAGUCUACGGCCUUACUUUGGGCAAGUACCAUGGCAUCCUACGAGCAGGUCCAAAAGGGACCCCUGAAGCUGAAAGGCGUCGCAGAGCUCGGCGUGACCAAGUGGAGGAAGAAAAAGAAGGACAAAGACAAGGCGAAACUCCUGGAAGCGAUGGGGACGAGCAAAAAGAACGAAGAGGAGAAGUGGCGCGGCCUGGACAAGCGGACUCCGGCCCAUGUGGCUUUCAAGAAGAUUCAGGAGAAGCGGCAAAUGAAAAGAAUCCUGAAGAAAGUAUCCAAAACCCACAAGCAGAGAGUGGAGGACUUCAACAGACACCUGAAUACACUCACAGAGCAUUUGGACAGCCCCAAAGUCAGCUGGACGAAGUAGCCUCCGGGCCCUGGGUACAGAGCAGCAUCGAGGCUAAGCAGAAGGCCAGGUCAGGGUUGUGUUUGGUACCACUGGUAUUUUUUAGAAACAUUGCUUUACACACAGCCUCGCAUCUUCUGUGACAGUGCUUUUUUGAAGCUGUGUAACCCCAUCCUGGAACUUGAUUAAAGACAGACUGUCCUUUUACCAGUUGGCAGUGGUGCUCUUCCUGUUCCAUGUGUCUUCUUCAUCCCAGGACCCAGGCUGACGAGCAGCCCCCAUCUGGGAAGUGUCAUACUCCUGGCAGAGAGAAGAGCCAAAGCAGGAUCCUAGGGUAGCUCUUAAAGCUUCUGUUCAGAUAUGGCCUGUGUUGUGUCUGCUCAUGUUUCAUUGGCCAGAGAAAGUCACAUGUCCAAGAAGCAGUGGCAGCCUCUGAAUAUACUAUCCUACCUGGUGGGAACUGCAAGUCACAUGGCAAGGGCAGGGCUGUAUGAUUCUGUACAGGAAAGGUAGAAAAUAAUUAGGUACAAGAGUACAAUCUGCUGGCCUAUGAUUAUUUUAAUAUUCAUUUAAAGGUAUAUAUCGUUAAUUUCAAUUAAAAUAAGCAACAAUUUAGAGGAAAGCAUUUACUAUCAAAUGAGAGCUUAAUGACUUCCAGGGUCCUCACAGCUUUAAUAUUCUGCAAUUUGUAUUUAGAAUACCUGGAAGAUGAUACCAUCUCAUGUAAUUAAUUGGGGCUCCUUUGCUAAAAGUUUCUUGGGGUUUUUUUUUGUACAAAGAAGUAAACAGGGAUUUCUCUCAACAGCUUCCGUUUUGGUGUGCUGUAUUAACAGUGUAAAAGAGCUGCCCUUCUGAGGAAGAAGGCCAGAGUAGCCCAACCACGGACACCACCAAGUUGGAGGACUUGGGGAGUAUUGAGAGACAGGGUCACAGGGGGACAUUGACACAUAAAAGUGGCUCCCAAUGUUAGAAGCCACUUGAGGUCCAAGUGGGUCCUUGGCUUUGGACAAAAAAGAAUUUAGGAGUGAGCUGACAGUAUAACAUAAAAACGAAUUUUGUUUAGAAAAUAUAGAAAAUCUACAGAC